rnacentral:lncRNA from 1 species
AUCAUUUAAAACGAUGAUAUUAAUAUUUCUCGAAGAUAUAAUUUCAAACGAAACGACACAAAUUUGCGAACCGAAAUUUGGCGGCAAAGCAGAGUUCGGAACGCGUUCGUUCGUCUUCGGUAAGCUUCGUGGCUGUCGGUAAUGGCGAUUGGCUAAGGUCUUGUAAAGGUUCAAAAGAGGGGAAACGCACGCGUGGAACGUGUUAUUGUAAAAGCGCUUCUCACGCGCAACAGGAUAGAUCAGUGGAGUCGUGCAGAGAAAAAGGACAAUUCCAAAAUGUAUUAGAAAAGGAAAUAAGCUAUAGCAUCUUUGUUACGAGAACAAUUCUUUGAGUUUUACCUGAGAAGUGAUAGAAAGAGAAAGAUAGAUAAAAAGAUCAAUAGAUAGAUAGAGGAGAGAGAGAGAGAGAGAGAGAGAGAGAGAGAAUGCUUGACACCGGCUCGUGCACCUUGACGUAUAGUAUUCUUCUUGGAUAAACACAAAGUUAUCUCUCCUUUGAAAUAGUCUUUUUAUAUUUUGUAUUAUACAUACUUCAUUUAGAUUGCAUACUUCGUCAUCAAAUUUCGAUUCCCAGAAUAAAAAAAUCAAAAAAAAAAAA